CGGCAGCACGGGAGCUUGCUCCUGGUGGCGAGUGGCGAACGGGUGAGUAAUGUAUCGGAACGUACCCAGUCGUGGGGGAUAACUCUCCGAAAGGAGAGCUAAUACCGCAUACGUCCUGAGGGGGAAAGCGGGGGACCUGCAAAGGCCUCGCGCGAUUGGAGCGGCCGAUAUCGGAUUAGCUAGUUGGCGGGGUAAAGGCCCACCAAGGCGACGACCCGUAGCGGGUCUGAGAGGACGACCCGCCACACUGGAACUGAGACACGGUCCAGACUCCUACGGGAGGCAGCAGUGGGGAAUUUUGGACAAUGGGGGCAACCCUGAUCCAGCCAUUCCGCGUGAGUGAAGAAGGCCUUCGGGUUGUAAAGCUCUUUCAGCAGGAGCGAAACGGUCGUUUUUAAUACAGACGGCUAAUGACGGUACCUGCAGAAGAAGCACCGGCUAACUACGUGCCAGCAGCCGCGGUAAUACGUAGGGUGCGAGCGUUAAUCGGAAUUACCGGGCGUAAAGCGUGCGCAGGCGGCGACAUAAGACAGAUGUGAAAUCCCCGGGCUCAACCUGGGAACUGCGUUUGUGACUGUGUUGCUAGAGUGUAGCAGAGGGGGGUGGAAUUCCACGUGUAGCAGUGAAAUGCGUAGAUAUGUGGAGGAACACCGAUGGCGAAGGCAGCCCCCUGGGUUAACACUGACGCUCAUGCACGAAAGCGU
rnacentral:rRNA from 1 species